CCUAAAGAGUAACGGAGGAGCACGAAGGUUGGCUAAUCCUGGUCGGACAUCAGGAGGUUAGUGCAAUGGCAUAAGCCAGCUUGACUGCGAGCGUGACGGCGCGAGCAGGUGCGAAAGCAGGUCAUAGUGAUCCGGUGGUUCUGAAUGGAAGGGCCAUCGCUCAACGGAUAAAAGGUACUCCGGGGAUAACAGGCUGAUACCGCCCAAGAGUUCAUAUCGACGGCGGUGUUUGGCACCUCGAUGUCGGCUCAUCACAUCCUGGGGCUGAAGUAGGUCCCAAGGGUAUGGCUGUUCGCCAUUUAAAGUGGUACGCGAGCUGGGUUUAGAACGUCGUGAGACAGUUCGGUCCCUAUCUGCCGUGGGCGCUGGAGAACUGAGGGGGGCUGCUCCUAGUACGAGAGGACCGGAGUGGACGCAUCACUGGUGUUCGGGUUGUCAUGCCAAUGGCACUGCCCGGUAGCUAAAUGCGGAAGAGAUAAGUGCUGAAAGCAUCUAAGCACGAAACUUGCCCCGAGAUGAGUUCUCCCUGACUCCUUGAGAGUCCUGAAGGAACGUUGAAGACGACGACGUUGAUAGGCCGGGUGUGUAAGCGCAGCGAUGCGUUGAGCUAACCGGUACUAAUGAACCGUGAGG
rnacentral:rRNA from 1 species